rnacentral:rRNA from 1 species
UACAGAGAGUGCGAGCGUUAAUCGGAAUUACUGGGCGUAAAGCGCACGUAGGUGGCGACGUAAGUCGGGUGUGAAAGCCCCGGGCUCAACCUGGGAAUUGCAUUCGAGACUGCAUUGCUGGAGUACGGAAGAGGAAGGCGGAAUUCCCGGUGUAGCGGUGAAAUGCGUAGAUAUCGGGAGGAACAUCAGUGGCGAAGGCGGCCUUCUGGUCCAGUACUGACACUCAAGUGCGAAAGCGUGGGGAGCAAACAGG